GCUCUAUUCCAGAAGCAGUCUGGAGCACAAAGAAUCCCUAAUCACUGACAUUAAGAAAGAAGAAAAAUAUUCCUAGGACGAUCCUGGAGAGCAAAGGUCAUCAGCAGUCACUUGACUUUCCUUGGAUUUCUCAACUGCAAUAGUCACAUGGUCUGCUGAAAAUGAAUUCUCUUUAUUUUCAUCUGAUUUCAAGGAAUUAUGGUUUUCAGUGAUUUCUUCAUUUGGAUCUAUUUUGAGACAGAGUAAUAGCAUUAAAACCCCCUUCUGAAUUAAUAAGGCAUUUGUUGCUGAAACGCAAAGUGUGACAAGCCAAUGGAGAAGAGACACACACAUGCAGAGAAAACACAGGGAAGAAGGCCACAUGGGAUGAAGGCAGAGAUGGGAAUGAUGCAGCUACAAGCCAGCUACAAGCCAAGGAAUGCCAUGGACUGCCGGCAACCACUAGAAAGAAGCUGGAAAAGGCAAGGAAGGAUUCUUCCGUGAUGCCUUCAGAG
rnacentral:antisense_RNA from 1 species